UACGGGGGGUGCGAGCGUUGUCCGGAAUCACUGGGCGUAAAGGGCGCGUAGGUGGCCUGAUAAGGGUGUGGUGAAAGUCCGGGGCUUAACCCCGGAUCUGCCGUGCCGACUGUUAGGCUAGAGUGCUGUAGGGGCAGGCGGAAUUCCGGGUGUAGCGGUGGAAUGCGUAGAGAUCCGGAAGAACACCGGUGGCGAAGGCGGCCCGCUGGGCAGUGACUGACGCUGAGGCGCGACAGCGUGGGGAGCAAACAGG
rnacentral:rRNA from 1 species